CCAUCGGCCCUUUUCAGGGCCAACAAUCGUUCAUAAAAGGGAUAAU
rfam:Aedes aegypti strain Liverpool supercont1.583 genomic scaffold, whole genome shotgun sequence.